AGUGAACGCUGGCGGUAGGCCUAACACAUGCAAGUCGAACGGCAGCACAGUAAGAGCUUGCUCUUACGGGUGGCGAGUGGCGGAUGGGUCAGGAAUACAUUGGAAUCUACUUUUUCGUGGGGGAUAACGUAGGGAAACUUACGCUAAUACCGCCUACGACCUACGGGUGAAAGCAGGGGAUCUUCGGACCUUGCGCGAUUGAAUGAGCCGAUGUCGGAUUAGCUAGUUGGCGGGGUAAAGGCCCACCAAGGCGACGAUCCGUAGCUGGUCUGAGAGGAGGAUCAGCCACACUGGAACUGAGACACGGUCCAGACUCCUACGGGAGGCAGCAGUGGGGAAUAUUGGACAAAGGGGGCAAGCCUGAUCAAGCCAUACCGCGUGGGUGAAGAAGGCCUUCGGGUUGUAAAACCCUUUUGUUGGGGAAGAAAAGCAGCGGGUUAAUACCCCGCUGUUCUGACGGUACCCAAAGAAUAAGCACCGGCUAACUUCGUG
rnacentral:rRNA from 1 species